rnacentral:rRNA from 1 species
UACACCAUUAGGUGUAGUGGUAGGAGAGCGUUCUAAGGGCGUUGAAGGUCGAUCGUGAGGACGGCUGGAGCGCUUAGAAGUGAGAAUGCCGGUAUGAGUAGCGAAAGACAGGUGAGAAUCCUGUCCACCGUAUGACUAAGGUUUCCUGGGGAAGGCUCGUCCGCCCAGGGUUAGUCGGGACCUAAGCCGAGGCCGAUAGGCGUAGGCGAUGGACAACAGGUUGAUAUUCCUGUACCAGUUGUUUUUGUUUGAGCAAUGGAGGGACGCAGUAGGCUAAGGAAUGCAUGCGAUUGGAAGUGCAUGUCCAAGCAAUGAGUCUUGAGUAGAGUUAAAUGCUUUACUCUCUAAGGACAAGUUGUGACGGGGAGCGAAAUAAUAGUAGCGAAGUUCCUGAUGUCACACUGCCAAGAAAAGCUUCUAGUGAGAAAACAACUGCCCGUACCGUAAACCGACACAGGUAGUCGAGGAGAGUAU